rnacentral:misc_RNA from 1 species
CUGGGUACUACACUCUCUACCCUUUGUGAACUAUUAUACCUGUUGCUUCGGCGGCGCCCGCGAGGGUGCCCGCCGGUCUCAUCAGAAUCUCUGUUUUCGAACCCGACGAUACUUCUGAGUGUUCUUAGCGAACUGUCA